rnacentral:rRNA from 1 species
GUGAGGAAUCUUCCACAAUGGGCGAAAGCCUGAUGGAGCAACGCCGCGUGAAGGAUGAAGGCCCUAGGGUCGUAAACUUCUUUUAUAAGUGAAGAAUAUGACGGUAACUUAUGAAUAAGCACCGGCUAACUACGUGCCAGCAGCCGCGGUCAUACGUAGGGUGCAAGCAUUAUCCGGAGUGACUGGGCGUAAAGAGUUGCGUAGGUGGUUUGUUAAGUAGGUAGUGAAAUCUGGCGGCUCAACCGUACAGGCUAUUACCUAAACUGGCAAACUCGAGAAUGGUAGAGGUAACUGGAAUUUCUUGUGUAGGAGUGAAAUCCGUAGAUAUAAGAAGGAACACCGAUGGCGUAGGCAGGUUACUGGACCAUUUCUGACACUGAGGCACGAAAGCGUGGGGAGCGAACGGGAUUAGAUACCCUAGUAGUCC